rnacentral:rRNA from 1 species
UGAGGAAUAUUGGUCAAUGGGCGGGAGCCUGAACCAGCCAAGCCGCGUGAGGGAAGAAGGCCCUAUGGGUCGUAAACCUCUUUUGUCAGGGAACAAAAGCGAGUAUGUAUACUAGUCUGAGUGUACCUGAAGAAAAAGCAUCGGCUAACUCCGUGCCAGCAGCCGCGGUAAUACGGAGGAUGCGAGCGUUAUCCGGAUUUAUUGGGUUUAAAGGGUGCGUAGGCGGCGAUGCAAGUCAGCGGUAAAAGCCCGGGGCUCAACCCCGGCGAGCCGUUGCAAACUGACAGUGCUAGAGAAGGCAGAGAGGUACGGCGAAUGCGGACAGUGUAGCGGUGGAAAAUGCUUAGAUAUUGCGCAGAACUCCGAUUGCGAAGGCAGCGUACUGGCGCCUGACUGACGCUGAGGCACGAAAGCGUGGGGGAUCGAACAGGAUUAGAUACC